UACUGGGCGUAAAGCGCGCGUAGGCCGUUGAGUUAGUUAAUUGUGAAAUCCCAAAGCUUAACUUUGGAACUGCAAUUAAAACUGCUCGACUAGAGUUUGAUAGAGGAAAGCGGAAUACAUAGUGUAGAGGUGAAAUUCGUAGAUAUUAUGUAGAACACCAGUUGCGAAGGCGGCUUUCUGGAUCAACACUGACGCUGAGGCGCGAAAGUAUGGGUAGCAAAGAGGAUUAGAUACCCUCGUAGUCCAUACCAUAAACGAUGAUUGCUAGAUGUUGGAAAUUUAUUUUCAGUAUCGCAGCUAACGCAUUAAGCAAUCCGCCUGGGGAGUACGACCGCAAGGUUAAAACUCAAAUGAAUUGACGGGGACCCGCACAAGCGGUGGAGCAUGUGGUUUAAUUCGAAGAUACGCGCAGAACCUUACCAACCCUUGACAUGUCUGUCGCGAGUUUAGGAAACUAGACUUUUCGGUUCGGCCGGACAGAACACAGGUGCUGCAUGGCUGUCGUCAGCUCGUGUCGUGAGAUGUUGGGUUAAGUCCCGCAACGAGCGCAACCCCUACUUUUAGUUGCCAUCAGGUAAUGCUGGGCACUCUGAAAGAACUGCCAGUGAUAAGCUGGAGGAAGGUGGGGAUGACGUCAAGUCCUCAUGGCCCUUACGGGUUGGGCUACACACGUGCUACAAUGGUAGUGACAAUGAGAUGCAAGGUGGCGACGCUAAGCUAAACUCAAAAAUCUACCUCAGUUCGGAUUGCACUCUGCAACUCGAGUGCAUGAAGCUGGAAUCGCUAGUAAUCGUAGAUCAGCGUGCUACGGUGAAUACGUUCCCGGGUCUUGU
rnacentral:rRNA from 1 species